UGUUGGAUAUGUCAGGAGCAUGAGGACGCAGACACCCCGUUAUCCUGGGAGUGCGAUGGCCGCCUUGAUUAGCCACAUCCAACGCAGAGACCAGGAGGGGGUAGCUGCUGUGGCCAGGCCCGCCGCAGCCAGCACCACCCCCGCCAGCACCACCCGGCCCAAGAGUGCGGCUACGCAUCUUGGUCCUGCGAUCUCUGCGUUCCUUUCAAGGCGCUCUCUCGCCCAGGUGAACUGCAGGCGAAGAUGAAGAAACUUAUUGCUUCUCAGCCUGCAGUUCAAGGGGUGUCUUUCCCUCGACCAGCACUGCCAUCGACCGAUCUAUCGGACGCAGAGCUGGUCAAAGCAGCUGCUGACAUAGACGCAUGUAUGUUUUUACGCCACUAUUAAUUGACAUAGGAAAUUUGAUACGUUUUGAUAAGUAUUCAGUUGAAGUUUGCCGACAUUAAAGGGUUUUAAAUAUUUUUUCCUAUCAUCAG